rnacentral:rRNA from 1 species
AGUGAACGCUGGCGGUAGGCCUAAUACAUGCAAGUCGAACGGCAGCACAGUAAGAGCUUGCUCUUACGGGUGGCGAGUGGCGGACGGGUGAGGAAUACAUCGGAAUCUACUUUUUCGUGGGGGAUAACGUAGGGAAACUUACGCUAAUACCGCAUACGACCUACGGGUGAAAGCAGGGGAUCUUCGGACCUUGCGCGAUUGAAUGAGCCGAUGUCGGAUUAGCUAGUUGGCGGGGUAAAGGCCCACCAAGGCGACGAUCCGUAGCUGGUCUGAGAGGAUGAUCAGCCACACUGGAACUGAGACACGGUCCAGACUCCUACGGGAGGCAGCAGUGGGGAAUAUUGGACAAUGGGCGCAAGCCUGAUCCAGCCAUACCGCGUGGGUGAAGAAGGCCUUCGGGUUGUAAAGCCCUUUUGUUGGGAAAGAAAAGCAGCAGGUUAAUACCCCGCUGUUCUGACGGUACCCAAAGAAUAAGCACCGGCUAACUUCGCG